rnacentral:rRNA from 1 species
GAUGAACGCUAGCGGGAGGCUUAACACAUGCAAGUCGAGGGGUAUAGUAGCAAUACUAGAGACCGGCGCACGGGUGAGUAACGCGUAUGCAACCUGCCCUUUACAGGAGGAUAGCCCGCUGAAAGGCGGAUUAAUACUCCAUAAGAUAGUACUGCUGCAUAGCAGAGCUAUAAAAGCUGCGGCGGUAAAGGAUGGGCAUGCGUGACAUUAGCUAGUUGGCGGGGUAACGGCCCACCAAGGCUACGAUGUCUAGGGGUUCUGAGAGGAAGGUCCCCCACACUGGUACUGAGACACGGACCAGACUCCUACGGGAGGCAGCAGUGAGGAAUAUUGGUCAAUGGGCGCGAGCCUGAACCAGCCAUCCCGCGUGCAGGAAGACGGCCCUAUGGGUUGUAAACUGCUUUUGUGCAGGAAGAAAGUCCCGAUCGUGAUCUGGGCGUGACGGUACUGCAUGAAUAAGCACCGGCUAACUCCGUGC